AUAAACAUGAGUGGAAGUGUGAUGAGUGAAGAUAGGAUUAGUGUGCUAAGGUGGUAGGGAACCAAGCUUUAAUCAUGAAUAAUGCUUUGUCCUUAAUCAUUCUUCCAUUUCAAGACAAAGCUCAUCACUUCACUCCCUCACACUUAAAUUCUCGGCCUCCCCUCUCUCUCUCUAUACUCUCUUUUCCUCCAUUGAUGUCCAUUGAAGAAAGCUUAGAGAAGCUUCAUCAAACACUACUAUGAGAUAAUCCACCAUCCAAUCCAAUCAAAUACUAUCAUAUCUCAUCAAAUUCAAGAAGCUAGAGCUAAGAUCAAAGUUGGAGCAAAGUCUUGAUCACCUUUUAAAUCCUUGAGCUUUGUGAUGACCAGGAGGAUUAGCGCUACUUUUCCAAGACAGGUUUAUAUGUGUAUGAUCUUCAGGCUUUGCCUAUCCAGGUUGGCUGGCUGGUGCUGACGGGACGGAGCUGAGGCUAGAGUUAAAAUUCAUAUGUUAGACUUCCGCUGUAGCAAUUACUCAUAUCAGUCUUUUGUUUUCCCAACUUAAGAUCUUCAUGUUAAAUUUCAAAUGAUAUACCUGACCGAGCUUAGACUCUUCACUACUAAAUUUAUGCCAAUGAAUGUCGGUUGUCAGAAGCAUGAAACAAAACUUGUGAUCCAAAGGGGCAUAGCCCGACUUUCUAUCCUAUUUCGGGUUUUUACAAGGU